rnacentral:snoRNA from 2 species
GCCCUCUCAGGGUCUCACCCGGAGAGUUUCUAGUACUCUACCAGUCUCGACUAUGAGAGGGAGAGUCAAGCAGAAGCAAAUCCACUCCAUUCCUAGCUCAGGCAGUGGCUAGCAACUGGAAGGCAAUCUGCUACAAGU